rnacentral:rRNA from 1 species
GUCCAGACUCCUACGGGAGGCAGCAGUGAGGAAUAUUGGUCAAUGGGCGCGAGCCUGAACCAGCCAAGUCGCGUGAGGGAAGACGGUCCUAUGGAUUGUAAACCUCUUUUGUCGGGGAGCAAAAGACGCCACGCGUGGCGUUCCGAGAGUACCCGAAGAAAAAGCAUCGGCUAACUCCGUGCCAGCAGCCGCGGUAAUACGGAGGAUGCGAGCGUUAUCCGGAUUUAUUGGGUUUAAAGGGUGCGUAGGCGGGCUGUUAAGUCAGCGGUAAAAUGGCGGGGCUCAACCCCGGCCUGCCGUUGAAACUGGCGGCCUCGAGUGGGCGAGAAGUAUGCGGAAUGCGUGGUGUAGCGGUGAAAUGCAUAGAUAUCACGCAGAACUCCGAUUGCGAAGGCAGCAUACCGGCGCCCGACUGACGCUGAGGCACGAAAGCGUGGGUAUCGAACAGGAUUAGAUACCCGAGUA